rnacentral:sRNA from 1 species
GCUGGGUGUGGUGGCGCGCACCUGUAAUCCCAGCUACUCAGGAGGCUGAGGCAGGAGAAUUGCUUGAACCUGGGAGGCGGAGGUUGCAGUGAGCUGAGAGUGGGCCAUUGCACUCCAGCCUGGGUGACAGAGUGAGACUCAGUCUCAA